GCGGAGGUGCCCAAGCGGCUAAGGGGAACGGCUGCAACCCGUUUAUUCAUGGGUUCGAGUCCCAUCCUCCGCU
rnacentral:tRNA from 1 species